AGUGAACGCUGGCGGUAGGCCUAACACAUGCAAGUCGAACGGCAGCACAGAGGAGCUUGCUCCUUGGGUGGCGAGUGGCGGACGGGUGAGGAAUACAUCGGAAUCUACUCUGUCGUGGGGGAUAACGUAGGGAAACUUACGCUAAUACCGCUUACGACCUACGGGUGAAAGCAGGGGACCUUCGGGCCUUGCGCGAUUGAAUAAGCCGAUGUCGGAUUAGCUAGUUGGCGGGGUAAAGGCCCACCAAGGCGACGAUCCGUAGCUGGUCUGAGAGGAUGAUCAGCCACACUGGAACUGAGACACGGUCCAGACUCCUACGGGAGGCAGCAGUGGGGAAUAUUGGACAAUGGGCGCAAGCCUGAUCCAGCCAUACCGCGUGGGUGAAGAAGGCCUUCGGGUUGUAAAGCCCUUUUGUUGGGAAAGAAAUCCAGCUGGCUAAUACCCGGUUGGGAUGACGGUACCCAAAGAAUAAGCACCGGCUAACUUCGUGCCAGCAGCCGCGGUAA
rnacentral:rRNA from 1 species